rnacentral:rRNA from 1 species
CCACUAUGCUUAGCCAUAAACAUUGACAGUUUAUUACAUUUUCUGUCCGCCUGGGUACUACGAGCAUUAGCUUAAAACCCAAAGGACUUGGCGGUGCUUUAGACCCACCUAGAGGAGCCUGUUCUAGAACCGAUAAUCCCCGUUCAACCUCACCCUUCCUUGCCCAUCCCGCCUAUAUACCACCGUCGUCAGCUUACCCUGUGAAGGACAAAAAGUAAGCAAAACUGGCACUGCCCAGCACGUCAGGUCGAGGUGUAGCGAAUGGAGGGGGAAGAAAUGGGCUACAUUCCCUUACUUUAGGGAACUACGAAUGGCACACUGAAAACGUGGGCCUAAAGGAGGAUUUAGCAGUAAGAGGAAACUAGAGUGUUCCCCUGAAGUCGGCUCUUAAGCGCGCACACACCGCCCGUCACUCUCCCCGAAACUUUAACUUUACAUUAACUAAAAUGCCAAAAUCACAGAGGGGAGGCAA